AAUUUUGUAGUUAAAUUUAUAACAUUAGAUUGCAAGUCUAACAUUGUAUUUCAUAAAUAUUAAAAUUU
rnacentral:tRNA from 1 species